CAGUUCUGGCGCUUAGCGCGCUUCACAUCCUCGACGAUCGUCACCUUUUCCACCAAAGCAGCAAAAUCUCGCUCUAUCUGUGGAGCUUUUAAAACCCGCAGACUAUCUUUGAGGCCGUCUUCAAAAAAAACGCAAUGCUCAUAUUCAGUUGCCACCAUCCCCCGUGCAUAGAGGCUAAGUCACAAAAAUUCAGCUUCAUAC
rnacentral:lncRNA from 1 species